AUUGAACGCUGGCGGCAGGCCUAACACAUGCAAGUCGAACGGUAACAGGAAGAAGCUUGCUUCUUUGCUGACGAGUGGCGGGCGGGUGAGUAAUGUCUGGGAAACUGCCUGAUGGAGGGGGAUAACUACUGGAAACGGUAGCUAAUACCGCAUAACGUCGCAAGACCAAAGAGGGGGACCUUCGGGCCUCUUGCCAUCGGAUGUGCCCAGAUGGGAUUAGCUAGUAGGUGGGGUAACGGCUCACCUAGGCGACGAUCCCUAGCUGGUCUGAGAGGAUGACCAGCCACACUGGAACUGAGACACGGUCCAGACUCCUACGGGAGGCAGCAGUGGGGAAUAUUGCACAAUGGGCGCAAGCCUGAUGCAGCCAUGCCGCGUGUAUGAAGAAGGCCUUCGGGUUGUAAAGUACUUUCAGCGGGGAGGAAGGGAGUAAAGUUAAUACCUUGACUGAUUGACGUUACCCGCAGAAGAAGCACCGGCUAACUCCGUG
rnacentral:rRNA from 1 species